rnacentral:rRNA from 1 species
GUGCCAGCCGCCGCGGUAACACGAACCGGACAAACGUUAUUCGGAAUUAUUGGGCUUAAAGGGUGCGUAGGCGGUGCGGUAAGUGCGGUGUGAAAUCCCACGGCUCAACCGUGGAAUUGCGCUGCAUACUGCCGUGCUAGAGGGAGACAGGGGUAAGCGGAACUGAUGGUGGAGCGGUGAAAUGCGUUGAUAUCAUCAGGAACACCGGUGGCGAAAGCGGCUUACUGGGUCUUCUCUGACGCUGAGGCACGAAAGCUAGGGUAGCGAACGGGAUUAGAUACCCGUGUAGUCC